rnacentral:rRNA from 1 species
AUUGAACGCUGGCGGCAUGCUUUACACAUGCAAGUCGAACGGUAACAGGCCGCAAGGUGCUGACGAGUGGCGAACGGGUGAGUAAUGCAUCGGAACGUGCCCAGUCGUGGGGGAUAACUACUCGAAAGAGUAGCUAAUACCGCAUACGAUCUAUGGAUGAAAGCGGGGGACCGUAAGGCCUCGCGCGAUUGGGGCGGCCGAUGUCAGCUUAGGUAGUUGGUGGGGUAAAGGCUCACCAAGCCAACGAUCUGUAGCUGGUCUGAGAGGGCGACCAGCCACACUGGGACUGAGACACGGCCCAGACUCCUACGGGAGGCAGCAGUGGGGAAUUUUGGACAAUGGGCGCAAGCCUGAUCCAGCAAUGCCGCGUGCAGGAAGAAGGCCUUCGGGUUGUAAACUGCUUUUGUACGGAACGAAACGGCUCUGGUUAAUACCCGGGGCUAAUGACGGUACCGUAAGAAUAAGCACCGGCUAACUACGUG